rnacentral:rRNA from 1 species
GCUGCAUUCGUGACGAGGAUUUGGGACCCUCUUAAUAAAGCUGUUCAAAAUAUCCACGAGUAUUACGAGUAUAAAAUAUUUAAAACUCAAAAGGGUUGGCGGCAUUUCACAUCAGUUAGGGAAACUUGGCGGUUAAUUCGAUGACCCCCGUUGUACUUUACCUUUAUCACUAACCUUUUAUACCGCCGUUGUAAUUCAUCUAACUCGAAAAGAAAAAUUUUAGGUGGACACACUUAAUUUUAAAAAUAAAGUGUUUUAAUUCAGGUAAACGUGAAGGUUAUAAAGGGCUUAGCUGAGUUACAAUUGUUUUUCCAUGUUGGAAUUAUGUCUGAAAAGUCGUACUAGAAAUCGAACUUGUUAGUAAAAUUAAAUGAAUGAGUUAAUUUGAAUUGUUAAGUUGAAAUGCGUACAAACC